rnacentral:rRNA from 1 species
UGGGGUCUUUCCGUCUAGCUGCGACUGUUUACCAAAAACACAGCACUCUGCUAACACGAAAGUGGACGUAUAGGGUGUGACGCCUGCCCGGUGCCGGAAGGUUAAGUGAUGGGGUGCAAGCUCUUGAUCGAAGCCCCGGUAAACGGCGGCCGUAACGAUAACGGUCCUAAGGUAGCGAAAUUCCUUGUCGGGUAAGUUCCGACCUGCACGAAUGGCGUAACGAUGGCCACACUGUCUCCUCCCGAGACUCAGCGAAGUUGAAAUGGUUGUGAUGAUGCAAUCUACCCGCAGCUAGACGGAAAGACCCCA